AACUUUCAACAACGGAUCUCUUGGUUCUGGCAUCGAUGAAGAACGCAGCGAAAUGCGAUAAGUAAUGUGAAUUGCAGAAUUCAGUGAAUCAUCGAAUCUUUGAACGCACAUUGCGCCCCUUGGUAUUCCGGGGGGCAUGCCUGUUCG
rnacentral:rRNA from 5 species